rnacentral:rRNA from 1 species
AUUGAACGCUAGCGGGAUGCCUUACACAUGCAAGUCGAACGGCGUGGCAACCGGGUGAGUAAUGUAUCGGAAUGUGCCCCGUAGCGGGGGAUAACUACGCGAAAUCGUAGCUAAUACCGCUUACUAUUGGUGCGGCCGAUAUCGGAUUAGCUAGUUGGUGGGGUAACGGCUCACCAAGGCGACGAUCCGUAGCUGGUUUGAGUGGACGACCAGCCACACUGGGACUGAGACACGGCCCAGACUCCUACGGGAGGCAGCAGUGGGGAAUUUUGGACAAUGGGGGAAAGCCUGAUCCAGCCAUCCCGCGUGUGCGAUGAAGGCCUUCGGGUUGUAAAGCACUUUUGGCAGGAAAGCGGUACCUGCAGAAUAAGCACCGGCUAACUACGUGCCAGCAGCCGCGGUAAUAC